UACAGAGGGUGCGAGCGUUAAUCGGAAUUACUGGGCGUAAAGCGUGCGUAGACGGUUAUUUAAGUCGGAUGUGAAAGCCCCGGGCUCAACCUGGGAAUUGCAUUCGAGACUGAAUAGCUAGGGUGCGGUAGAGGGAAGCGGAAUUCCCGGUGUAGCGGUGAAAUGUGUAGAGAUCGGGAGGAACACCGGUGGCGAAGGCGGCCUUCUGGACGGUGACUGACGCUGAGGCGCGAAAGCGUGGGGAGCAAACGGG
rnacentral:rRNA from 1 species